AUUGAACGCUGGCGGCAGGCCUUACACAUGCAAGUCGAGCGGCUGAAGGGAGUUUGCUCUUGCAUUCAGCGGCGGACGGGUGAGUAAUGCCUAGGAACCUGCCUGGUAGUGGGGGAUAACUUCCGGAAACGGGCGUUAAUACCGCAUACGUCCUGAGGGUGAAAGCGGGGGAUCUUCGGACCUCACGCUAUCAGAUCAGCCUAUGUCGGAUUAGCUAGUUGGUGGGGUAAAGGCCUACCAAGGCGACGAUCCGUAGCUGGUCUGAGAGGAUGAUCAGUCACACUGGGACUGAGACACGGCCCAGACUCCUACGGGAGGCAGCAGUGGGGAAUUUUGGACAAUGGGCGAAAGCCUGAUCCAGCAAUGCCGCGUGUGUGAAGAAGGUCUUCGGAUUGUAAAGCACUUUAAGUGGGGAGGAAAAGGAGUGAGUUAAUACCUCGGUGUGAUGACGGUACCAGCAGAAUAAGCACCGGCUAACUACGUG
rnacentral:rRNA from 1 species